rnacentral:rRNA from 1 species
AACGAGCGCUGGCGGCAGGCUUAACACAUGCAAGUCGAACGCCACCUUCGGGUGGAGUGGCAGACGGGUGAGUAACGCGUGGAAACAUACCUUUUGCUUCGGAAUAUUCCCGGGAAACUGGGAGCAAUACCGAAUGUGCCCUGAGGGGGAAAGAUUUAUCGGCAAAAGAUUGGUCCGCGUUAGAUUAGGUAGUUGGUAAGGUAAAGGCCUACCAAGCCUACGAUCUAUAGCUGGUCUGAGAGGAUGAUCAGCCACAUUGGGACUGAGACACGGCCCAAACUCCUACGGGAGGCAGCAGUGGGGAAUAUUGGACAAUGGGCGCAAGCCUGAUCCAGCCAUGCCGCGUGAAUGAUGAAGGCCUUAGGGUUGUAAAAUUCUUUCACCGGGGACGAUAAUGACGGUACCCGGAGAAGAAGCCCCGGCUAACUUCGUGCCAGCCGCCGCAGUAA